rnacentral:rRNA from 1 species
UACGUAGGGGGCUAGCGUUGUCCGGAAUCAUUGGGCGUAAAGCGCGUGUAGGCGGCUCGGUAAGUCCGCUGUGAAAGUCGGGGGCUCAACCCUCGGAUGCCGGUGGAUACUGUCGGGCUAGAGUACGGAAGAGGCGAGUGGAAUUCCUGGUGUAGCGGUGAAAUGCGCAGAUAUCAAGAGGAACACCUGAGGUGAAGACGGGUUGCUGGGCUGACACUGACGCUGAGGCGCGAAAGCCAGGGGAGCAAACGGG